GACGAACGCUGGCGGCGUGCUUAACACAUGCAAGUCGAACGGAAAGGCCCUGCAUUUGUGGGGUGCUCGAGUGGCGAACGGGUGAGUAACACGUGAGUAACCUGCCCUUGACUUUGGGAUAACUUCAGGUAACUGGGGCUAAUACCGGAUAGGAGCUCCUGCUGCAUGGUGGGGGUUGGAAAGUUUCGGCGGUUGGGGAUGGACUCGCGGCUUAUCAGCUUGUUGGUGGGGUAGUGGCUUACCAAGGCUUUGACGGGUAGCCGGCCUGAGAGGGUGACCGGCCACAGUGUGACUGGGACACGACCCAGACACCUACGGGAGGCAGCAGUGGGGAAUAUUGCACAAUGGGCGGAAGCCUGAUGCAGCAGCGCCGCGUGCGAGAUGAUGGCCUUCGGGUUGUAAUCGGCUUUCGCUUGUGACGCAGCGUAAGUGACGGUAAUGGGUAAAGAAACACCGGCUAACUACGU
rnacentral:rRNA from 1 species